rnacentral:rRNA from 1 species
AAACCAGAUAUGACUUAGUGGCGGACGGGUGAGUAACACGUGAGCAACCUGCCUUUCAGAGGGGGAUAACGGCUGGAAACGGUCGCUAAUACCGCAUGACACAUACUGAUCGCAUGGUCGGUAUGUCAAAGAUUUAUCGCUGAAAGAUGGCCUCGCGUCUGAUUAGCUAGUUGGUGAGGUAACGGCCCACCAAGGCGACGAUCAGUAGCCGGACUGAGAGGUUGAACGGCCACAUUGGGACUGAGAUACGGCCCAGACUCC